UGGGGAAUAUUGCACAAUGGGCGCAAGCCUGAUGCAGCCAUGCCGCGUGUGUGAAGAAGGCCUUCGGGUUGUAAAGCACUUUCAGCGGGGAGGAAGGCGGUGAGGUUAAUAACCUCAUCGAUUGACGUUACCCGCAGAAGAAGCACCGGCUAACUCCGUGCCAGCAGCCGCGGUAAGACGGAGGGUGCAAGCGUUAAUCGGAAUUACUGGGCGUAAAGCGCACGCAGGCGGUCUGUCAAGUCGGAUGUGAAAUCCCCGGGCUCAACCUGGGAAGUGCAUUCGAAACUGGCAGGCUAGAGUCUUGUAGAGGGGGGUAGAAUUCGAGGUGUAGCGGUGAAAUGCGUAGAGAUCUGGAGGAAUACCGGUGGCGAAGGCGUCCCCCUGGACAAAGACUGAAGCUCAGGUGCGAAAGCGUGGGGAGCAACCAGG
rnacentral:rRNA from 1 species